AAUGGGCGCAAGCCUGACCCAGCAACGCCGCGUGAGGGAAGAAGGCUUUCGGGUUGUAAACCUCUGUCCUUGGUGACGAAAAAAAUGACGGUAGCCAAGGAGGAAGCCCCGGCUAACUACGUGCCAGCAGCCGCGGUAAUACGUAGGGGGCGAGCGUUGUCCGGAAUUACUGGGCGUAAAGGGUGCGUAGGUGGCCUUUUAAGUUGGAUGUGAAAUACCCGGGCUUAACCUGGGGGGUGCAUCUAAUACUGGGAGGCUAGAGUGCAGGAGAGGAAAGCGGAAUUCCUAGUGUAGCGGUGAAAUGCGUAGAUAUUAGGAGGAACACCAGUGGCGAAGGCGGCUUUCUGGACUGUAACUGACACUGAGGCACGAAAGCGUGGGGAGCAAACAGGAUUAGAUACCCUGGUAGUCCACGCGGUAAACGAUGAAUACUAGGUGUAGGGGGUAUCAACUCCCCCUGUGCCGGAGCUAACGCAAUAAGUAUUCCGCCUGGGGAGUACGGCCGCAAGGUUGAAACUCAAAG
rnacentral:rRNA from 1 species